rnacentral:lncRNA from 15 species
AUGGUUAUUGUUAUGCAUCAAAACAACAAGAUAAAUUCCUUGUAUGUGAAAACCUACUUAACAAUAAACCUGAUUCUGAUUCAUACAGCACAUCCUGAACAGUUAACAGUCGCUCUGCUUGGAAAGAGAGCUGAGUUAAGGAACAUCAUUGGAAACAUGAUCCUUGGUAGUAAUGCUUUCGACACAGAGUCACACAUCCUUGUCGUGGGAGAGACCAGCUCAUUCAAAAUAAUCAACACUCCUGAUUUCUUUGAUGAAGAAAGUCUGCACACGGACCAGCACAUUAUUGACUUAAUGGCACUGUCUCAUCCCGGCCCCGAUCUGUUCAUACUGACAAUAGAUCCAGAAAACACCCAAGAGGUAGAUGUUGUGGCUCAGAUCAGCAAACUCCAGCAUACGUUUGGAGAAAGAAUCACAGAACACUUGGUUGUCACAUUACCAGACAUGGAAAGCUUCCAUUCACUCGGUCAUCUGAAGGAAAUCUUCGACAUCUGGUUGGCACCUGAUGAAAAUCUGGCCAGUGAAUGUAGGAACUUAUGUUCUGACUGUGAUCCAUUCCUAUAUGACUACAGACACUACAGUCAAGAUGUUGUGACAAGAAGAAAGACAGCCUUAGACACGAUCCAGAAGCAAAGAUGUGGUGGCGAUCCCCUGUGUGACGUUGGCAGCGCAGGUUGGUUUUCAUUUUCAAAUAUAUUUGGUUAUAUGUUAUGUUAUGUUAUCAUGCUGAAGCAGCAAACCAUUUGCAAGAAUAGAAAGGAAAGAAAUACCAAGUGUGUUAAACUGGCUAAAUAUGGUCCAGCUGUUCUCAGUGGGCAUUGGGUUGGUUGUGCCUUGUCACUGAUUUUGUUCAUGGACAAAAUCUUCUGGCACAGCCAGGGCUUGGAGGGCGUACAAUAUGGUAUGUAUGCUGGAGCAGCCCUUGAACAUCACAUUGGUAUGCUUCAAGAGAAGCAACAAAACAUAUAUAAUUUAUUAGAGUAUAUAAAGAUAGCAACUGUGACGGCUCAAAUGCUCAUGUCUUUGUUUUGUAGUGUCGCUUUGCCAAUAAAACAUAAUUGAGAUCUCCAAUCAUCCGAUAUCAGUUCAGCCUCUGAUUAUAGGAUCCCUCCUGGACGCCUCCCUGUGGAGACAUUCAGAGACACAACCAAAUGUAUGGACAGCCUUGGGGCAAACCCAGAACACCCUGGAGGAAUUACAUAUCUUAUCUGGCCAUCUGCAUUGUAGUUGGCUAGUGAUGUAGUGACUCUUUUUUUGUCAAUUGUACCAUUUGGGAUCACAGUUUUAAAUCUGGUACCGUCCAUUUAGCUCAUUAAUUCCUAUUGAAUAUGUAUGGGGAAACAGGAUGAACCAGUAUGAACUAUCAUUGACCUGGUUAUAUUUAACAGGAUUUAUUAAUAUUAUUAGUAUUAUUAUUUUAAAGUUUUUUAUUUUUCACUUUUUAAGUGAAACGUUUUGAAAGCUACUCCUUGUGCAAAGAUUGAAAUAAUUUCCCAAUAAAAUUAAUCUUAAGCUUUAACCUUGAGUGUUAAACAUUACAUUAAAUAUACACUCUGAAAGGAAUCAGGAUGUGUAUCUUAAUAAAUGACCGAAUGCAUGUAUGCUGGAGGAGCCCUUUAAGAGAAGCAAUCCAAACAUAUAUUAGACAGUCCCUCCAGAAAAACGCGAUUAUGCAAUCGCAUAAUUCAAUGCAUAAUCAGCCAAAGUCCGCAUAUUCAUGCGGGGCUGCAUUUUUUCAAAUACGCCUCACUUUCACCGCAUAAAUUGCUGAUUUCCGCGCAAUAUACGCGGGGCUUGCAUGAUUUCAUAAUCCCCGCAUUUUUGUUGCAAAAAAAGUCACAUAUAUCAAAUGUUGCGUUUACUUCACACAAGAGCAGCCAUUUUCCCCUGUUGCCAUGGGAACGUUAUGAAGUGACGUAAUUACGCGACGUGAGCGUCAUCGAAAAGCUGCAAACCCUGCGAAGAAGCCAUGAUGAAGCCCGCAAAUCAGUCUUUUGCCAACAAAAAUAAUUAUUAAAUCUUUUAACAGAAGAUGUCUGUUUUGUACAGCUACCUCUGUAAAACAGGAAGCACACAUUUAA